AUAGUACUCCCUCCGUCCUAGAAUUUUUGUCCUAGGUUUGUCUAAAAAUGAAUGUAUCUAAAUAAUAAAACGUGACUAGAUGCAUUCAUAUAUAGACAAAUUUAAGAUAAGAAUUUUGGGACAGAGGGAGUAUUAU
rfam:Hordeum vulgare subsp. vulgare, WGS project CAJW01000000 data, contig: morex_contig_1631501